UACGUAGGGUGCAGGCGUUAAUCGGAAUUACUGGGCGUAAAGCGUGCGCAGGCGGUCUGCUAAGAGAGAUGUGAAAUCCCCGGGCUUAACCUGGGAACUGCGUUUCUAACUGGCAGGCUUGAGUGUGGCAGAGGGGGGUGGAAUUCCACGUGUAGCAGUGAAAUGCGUAGAGAUGUGGAGGAACACCGAUGGCGAAGGCAGCCCCCUGGGCUAACACUGACGCUCAUGCACGAAAGCGUGGGGAGCGAACGGG
rnacentral:rRNA from 1 species